rnacentral:rRNA from 1 species
AGACGCCAAAGAUUUAUCGGCAAGGGAUGGGCCUGCGUCUGAUUAGUUAGUUGGUGGGGUAACGGCCUACCAAGGCAGCGAUCAGUAGCCGACCUGAGAGGGUGAUCGGCCACAUUGGAACUGAGACACGGUCCAAACUCCUACGGGAGGCAGCAGUGGGGAAUAUUGCGCAAUGGGCGAAAGCCUGAUGCAGCAACGCCGCGUGAAGGAAAGAGGCCCUUGGGUCGUAAACUUCGUUCUAAGGGAAGAUAAUGA